UACGUAGGGUGCGAGCGUUGUCCGGAAUUAUUGGGCGUAAAGGGCUCGUAGGCGGUCUGUCGCGUCGAAAGUGAAAACUCAGGGCUUAACCCUGAGCCUGCUUCCGAUACGGGCAGACUAGAGGUAUGCAGGGGAGAACGGAAUUCCGUGGUGUAGCGGUGAAAUGCGCAGAUAUCAGGAGGAACACCGAUGGCGAAGGCAGGUCUCCUGGGCCAUAACUGACGCUGAGAAGCGAAAGCAUGGGGAGCGAACAGG
rnacentral:rRNA from 1 species